rnacentral:rRNA from 1 species
CUAGCCGUAAACGAUGGAUACUAGGCGUUGUGAGUAUCGACCCUCACAGUGUCGUAGCUAACGCGUUAAGUAUCCCGCCUGGGGAGUACGCGCGCAAGCGUGAAACUCAAAGGAAUUGACGGGGGUCCGCACAAGCGGUGGAGUAUGUGGUUUAAUUCGAUGCAACGCGAAGAACCUUACCAGGACUUGACAUGUCGCGAAUCUCAGGGAAACUUGAGAGUGCCUUCGGGAGCGCGAACACAGGUGGUGC